rnacentral:lncRNA from 1 species
UUUUAUAAGUAAGCACACCAAGAGAUGUAUCAUUGCUUGCUCAUGAAGAGCACUGUGGUCUCCAUUCAGGAAUCAGUCCCAGGAGUGAUGGUAGCUGCAGAAUGAGAGGCGCAGAUUAAGUCACAGAAGUUUGGUCCUCAAGAAUCCACCAGGUGCCUGGCACUCUUUUAGCACUGGAAAUACAGUAGUGACAAAGCACGACAAGACAAGCAAAAGAAAACAAGAAAAACAGGAUAGUCGGAAGGAGGGAAUUAAGCGAACCACAGAAUGUUCACUGGAAUGCUGUCUUGUAAAAUGGAAUGGUUUUACAAAAGCUAGGCUGCAGGCUCUGGCGUCCCUUAUAGUCAGAUGUAACCCGGUGCUGAAUUCUGACUAAUGAAUUGCGAGUGGAGGUCAUUCACACCACUACCAGGAUUGGCUUUGUAAAUUUCCCAUCUUCCAGCUGAAUAGAUGGGGCUUCAAGGAUUUGGAAGAGAGUGAAGCUACAGGGUAGAAGGAUCCUGGGCUCCUGAAUAAGCCCAUAGAAGGAUGUGAAUGAAAAAUAUUUAUUUUGGUAAGCCACAGAUAUUUGAGAAUUUGUGUGAAUUACUCAGACCAGC